CCUACGGGAGGCUGCAGUGAGGAAUAUUGGUCAAUGGGCGAAAGCCUGAACCAGCCAAGUAGCGUGCAGGAUGACGGCCCUACGGGUUGUAAACUGCUUUUAUAGGGGAGUAACGAGCCUUACGUGUAAGGCAUUGCAAGUACCGGAAGAAAAAGGACCGGCUAAAUCCGUGCCAGCAGCCGCGGUAAUACGGAGGAUGCGGGCGUUAUCCGGAUUUAUUGGGUUAAAGGGGGGCGAAGGCGGCGGUGCAAGGUAGCGGGAAAAUUGCGGGGCUAAAACCGGCAUUGCAGGUGAAAAUGGGGUCCUUGAGUGCGCGAAAAGCAGGCGGAAUUCGUGGUGUAGCGGUGAAAUGCUUAGAUAUGACGCAGAACCCCGAUUGCGAAGGCAGCUUGCUGCAGCGGAACUGACGCUCAUGCUCGAAAGCGUGGGUAUCGAACAGGAUUAGAUACCCGUGUAGUC
rnacentral:rRNA from 1 species